UACAGAGGUGGCAAGCGUUGUUCGGAAUUACUGGGCGUAAAGCGCGUGUAGGCGGCUCUUCAAGUCAGGCGUGAAAGCCCGGCUCAACUCGGAACUGCGCUUGAUACUGUCGAGCUAGAGUGUGGAAGGGGCGAUUGGAAUUCCGUGUGUAGCGGUGAAAUGCGUAGAUAUACGGAGGAACACCGGUGGCGAAAGCGACUCACUGGACCGACACUGACGCUGAGGUGCGAAAGCUAGGGUAGCAAACGGG
rnacentral:rRNA from 1 species